ACACGGCCCAGACUCCUACGGGAGGCAGCAGUUGGGAAUCUUAGACAAUGGGGGCAACCCUGAUCUAGCCAUGCCGCGUGAGUGAUGAAGGCCUUAGGGUCGUAAAGCUCUUUCGCCUGUGAUGAUAAUGACAGUAGCAGGUAAAGAAACCCCGGCUAACUCCGUGCCAGCAGCCGCGGUAAUACGGAGGGGGUUAGCGUUGUUCGGAAUUACUGGGCGUAAAGCGCGCGUAGGCGGACUAGAAAGUUGGGGGUGAAAUCCCGGGGCUCAACCUCGGAACUGCCUCCAAAACUGCUAGUCUAGAGUUCGAGAGAGGUGAGUGGAAUUCCGAGUGUAGAGGUGAAAUUCGUAGAUAUUCGGAGGAACACCAGUGGCGAAGGCGGCUCACUGGCUCGAUACUGACGCUGAGGUGCGAAAGUGUGGGGAGCAAACAGGAUUAGAUACCCUGGUAGUCCACACCGUAAACGAUGAAUGCCAGUCGUCGGGUAGUAUACUAUUCGGUGACACACCUAACGGAUUAAGCAUUCCGCCUGGGGAGUACGGUCGCAAGAUUAAAACUCAAAGGAAUUGACGGGGGCCCCCACAAGCGGUGGACCAUCUGGUUUAAUUCGAAGC
rnacentral:rRNA from 1 species